CUUAAACUAUAAACUGUAGCUCAGGCUGAAAGGUCACUAACACAACCUUGGGUCUUCAGGACAAUGAGGAUUAUCUGUGGCAUAGUCAUCUUUUACAGCUUCAUUCACCCAGGAAAUUCACACUGCACUGCUCCUCAAGGUAAGUGACCAUGGUCCGUUGGAUGCAGGUACUUAAAGCUCACAAUAAAAAGGUUAAUGUUAGUAAAUGCUCUUCACUGCUCAUAAAUAUGCAUAAAACACAGUCAUCUGGAACACAUUAACAUGCUAAUAUAAUACAAUUAUAACCUGUUUUAACAGUAUGUAAAGUUGGGAUAUUUUGGUAUAACUCACUUCAAAUAUAUUUAGUCUAUGACAAUGUUGGAUGCUCAGAGAUUUCCCAUAGUUUAGUAUCCAUAUACCUCUUAUAAAUGCCAUCAAUUUGUGCAACUACUGUGUCCAUUUUCUGUCACAGCCACUGUAAAUUACCCCUUAUAUCAUAAAUAUUACACUAAAUACCAUCCAAAGAUUUGGAGGGUUUUUUAAAAUCUUGCCUCCAAAUGUUAAACAGUAGAUAACUGGCCCACAGCAUGAAAAAUCCUGGAUGUCACUGCCAUAGAACAAAAAAAUACUCCAGGAUUUGUAUACAUGUCCAUUUAUUGAAGAAACAAUAGGUUAGCAUUGUGU